rnacentral:rRNA from 1 species
GACGAACGCUGGCGGCGUGCUUAACACAUGCAAGUCGAACGGAAAGGCCCUGCUUUUGUGGGGUGCUCGAGUGGCGAACGGAUGAGUAACACGUGAGUAACCUGCCCUUGACUUUGGGAUAACUUCAGGAAACUGGGGCUAAUACCGGAUAGGAGCUCCUGCUGCAUGGUGGGGGUUGGAAAGUUUCGGCGGUUGGGGAUGGACUCGCGGCUUAUCAGCUUGUUGGUGGGGUAGUGGCUUACCAAGGCUUUGACGGGUAGCCGGCCUGAGAGGGUGACCGGCCACAUUGGGACUGAGAUACGGCCCAGACUCCUACGGGAGGCAGCAGUGGGGAAUAUUGCACAAUGGGCGGAAGCCUGAUGCAGCAACGCCGCGUGCGGGAUGACGGCCUUCGGGUUGUAAACCGCUUUCGCCUGUGACGAAGCGUGAGUGACGGUAAUGGGUAAAGAAGCACCGGCUAACUACGUGCCAGCAGCCGCGGUGAUACGUAGGGUGCGAGCGUUGUCCGGAUUUAUUGGGCGUAAAGGGCUCGUAGGUGGUUGAUCGCGUCGGAAGUGUAAUCUUGGGGCUUAACCCUGAGCGUGCUUUCGAUACGGGUUGACUUGAGGAAGGUUGGGGAGAAUGGAAUUCCUGGUGGAGCGGUGGAAUGCGCAGAUAUCAGGAGGAACACCAGUGGCGAAGGCGGUUCUCUGGGCCUUUCCUGACGCUGAGGAGCGAAAGCGUGGGGAGCGAACAGGCUUAGAUACCCUGGUAGUCCACGCUGUAAACGGUGGGUACUAGGUGUGGGGUCCAUUCCACGGGUUCCGUGCCGUAGCUAGCGCUUUAGGUACCCCGCCUGGGGAGUACGGCCGCAAGGCUAAAACUCAAAGGAAUUGACGGGGCCCCGCACAAGCGGCGGAGCAUGCGGAUUAAUUCGAUGCAACGCGUAGAACCUUACCUGGGUUUGACAUGGAUCGGGAGUGCUCAGAGAUGGGUGUGCCUCUUUUGGGGUCGGUUCACAGGUGGUGCAUGCCUGUCGUCAGCUCGUGUCGUGAGAUGUUGGGUUAAGUCCCGCAACGAGCGCAACCCUUGUUCACUGUUGCCAGCACGUUAUGGUGGGGACUCAGUGGAGACCGCCGGGGUCAACUCGGAGGAAGGUGGGGAUGACGUCAAGUCAUCAUGCCCCUUAUGUCCAGGGCUUCACGCAUGCUACAAUGGCUGGUACAGAGAGUGGCGAGCCUGUGAGGGUGAGCGAAUCUCGGAAAGCCGGUCUCAGUUCGGAUUGGGGUCUGCAACUCGACCUCAUGAAGUCGGAGUCGCUAGUAAUCGCAGAUCAGCAACGCUGCGGUGAAUACGUUCCCGGG